AUACGGAGGGUGCAAGCGUUAAUCGGAAUUACUGGGCGUAAAGCGCACGCAGGCGGUUUGUUAAGUCAGAUGUGAAAUCCCCGGGCUCAACCUGGGAACUGCAUCUGAUACUGGCAAGCUUGAGUCUCGUAGAGGGGGGUAGAAUUCCAGGUGUAGCGGUGAAAUGUGUAGAGAUCUGGAGGAAUACCGGUGGCGAAGGCGGCCCCCUGGACGAAGACUGACGCUCAGGUGCGAAAGCGUGGGGAGCAAACAGGAUUAGAUACCCUGGUAGUCCACGCCGUAAACGAUGUCGACUUGGAGGUUGUGCCCUUGAGGCGUGGCUUCCGGAGCUAACGCGUUAAGUCGACCGCCUGGGGAGUACGGCCGCAAGGUUAAA
rnacentral:rRNA from 1 species